rnacentral:misc_RNA from 1 species
GUUCAUGCCUUGGCCGUGGAACGGCGUGAUCGCGUGUGCGGCAUCGCCGAUGAGCAGCACGUCUUCCGCCACGUUCCACCGUGCGCACCGCACCGUACCCAUGAUGCCCGCC